UCCCCCGUGGCGCAGCUGGCUAGUGCGUCAGACUGUUACUCCUCUCUUCUCCCAUGAGAAAGAGAAUGGAAAAAGACAUCUGGAGGUUCUCAGUUCAAUCCUGAGCGGGGGAG